GAUGAACGCUGGCGGCGUGCCUAAGACAUGCAAGUCGAGCGGUAAGGCUCCUACUCUGUACUCAAAGUUUGAGUAUGGUGUUGGAGUACACGAGCGGCGGACGGGUGAGUAACACGUAGGAACGUACCCCAAACUGAGGAAUAAGCAUCAGAAAUGAUGUCUAAUACCACAUGUGAUCUUCGGAUUAAAGCUUCGGCGGUUUGGGAACGGCCUGCGCAUGAUUAGCUUGUUGGUGAGGUAAUAGCUCACCAAGGCGACGAUCAUUAGCUGGUCUGAGAGGAUGACCAGCCACACUGGGACUGAGAUACGGCCCAGACUCCUACGGGAGGCAGCAGUCGGGAAUUUUCCACAAUGGACGAAAGUCUGAUGGAGCAACGCCGCGUGCAGGAUGAAGGCUUUCGGGUCGUAAAC
rnacentral:rRNA from 1 species